GGCAAUGACUGCCGCUAUACAUGCAAGUCGAGCGGACGAGAUGCGAGAGCUUGCUCCCUGAUGUUAGCGGCGGACGGGUGAGUAACACGUGGGUAACCUGCCUGUAAGACUGGGAUAACUCCGGGAAACCGGGGCUAAUACCGGAUGGUUGUUUGAACCGCAUGGUUCAAACAUAAAAGGUGGCUUCGGCUACCACUUACAGAUGGACCCGCGGCGCAUUAGCUAGUUGGUGAGGUAACGGCUCACCAAGGCAACGAUGCGUAGCCGACCUGAGAGGGUGAUCGGCCACACUGGGACUGAGACACGGCCCAGACUCCUACGGGAGGCAGCAGUAGGGAAUCUUCCGCAAUGGACGAAAGUCUGACGGAGCAACGCCGCGUGAGUGAUGAAGGUUUUCGGAUCGUAAAGCUCUGUUGUUAGGGAAGAACAAGUACCGUUCGAAUAGGGCGGUACCUUGACGGUACCUAACCAGAAAGCCACGGCUAACUACGUGCCAGCAGCCGCGGUAAUACGUAGGUGGCAAGCGUUGUCCGGAAUUAUUGGGCGUAAAGGGCUCGCAGGCGGUUUCUUAAGUCUGAUGUGAAAGCCCCCGGCUCAACCGGGGAGGGUCAUUGGAAACUGGGGAACUUGAGUGCAGAAGAGGAGAGUGGAAUUCCACGUGUAGCGGUGAAAUGCGUAGAGAUGUGGAGGAACACCAGUGGCGAAGGCGACUCUCUGGUCUGUAACUGACGCUGAGGAGCGAAAGCGUGGGGAGCGAACAGGAUUAGAUACCCUGGUAGUCCACGCCGUAAACGAUGAGUGCUAAGUGUUAAGGGGGUUUCCGCCCCUUAGUGCUGCAGCUAACGCAUUAAGCACUCCGCCUGGGGAGUACGGUCGCAAGACUGAAACUCAAGGAAUUUGACGGGGGCCCGCACAAGCGGUGGAGCAUGGUGGUUUAAUUCGAGGCACGCGAGACCUUACCAGGUCUUGACAUCUCUGACAUCCUAGAGAUAGGACGUCC
rnacentral:rRNA from 1 species